rnacentral:rRNA from 1 species
CGAAAGCCUGACGGAGCAAUACCGCGUGAGGGAGGAAGGCUCUUGGGUCGUAAACCUCUUUUCUCAGGGAAGAACACAAUGACGGUACCUGAGGAAUAAGCAUCGGCUAACUCCGUGCCAGCAGCCGCGGUAAUACGGAGGAUGCAAGCGUUAUCCGGAAUGAUUGGGCGUAAAGCGUCCGCAGGUGGCUAUGUAAGUCUGCUGUUAAAGAGUCUAGCUCAACUAGAUAAGAGCAGUGGAAACUACAAGGCUAGAGUGCGUUCGGGGCAGAGGGAAUUCCUGGUGUAGCGGUGAAAUGCGUAGAGAUCAGGAAGAACACCAGUGGCGAAGGCGCUCUGCUAGGCCGCAACUGACACUGAGGGACGAAAGCUAGG